rnacentral:rRNA from 1 species
GCGUGAGUGAAGAAGGCCUUCGGGUUGUAAAGCUCUUUUACCCGGGAAGAUAAUGACUGUACCGGGAGAAUAAGCCCCGGCUAACUCCGUGCCAGCAGCCGCGGUAAUACGGAGGGGGCUAGCGUUGUUCGGAAUUACUGGGCGUAAAGCGCACGUAGGCGGCUUUACAAGUCAGGGGUGAAAGCCCGCGGCUCAACCGCGGAAUUGCCCUUGAGACUGUAUCGCUUGAACACGGGAGAGGUGAGUGGAAUUCCGAGUGUAGAGGUGAAAUUCGU